rnacentral:rRNA from 1 species
UACGAAGGGGGCUAGCGUUGUUCGGAUUCAUUGGGCGUAAAGGGUGCGUAGGCGGCGAGGCAAGUCUGGUGUGAAAUCCCGGGGCUCAACCCCGGAACUGCACUGGAUACUGCUUUGCUAGAGUACUGGAGAGGGAACUGGAAUUUACGGUGUAGCAGUGAAAUGCGUAGAUAUCGUAAGGAAGACCAGCGGCGAAGGCGAGUUCCUGGACAGUUACUGACGCUGAGGCACGAAGGCCAGGGGAGCAAACGGG